rnacentral:rRNA from 1 species
GGGAGGCAGCAGUGGGGAAUAUUGCACAAUGGGCGCAAGCCUGAUGCAGCCAUGCCGCGUGUGUGAAGAAGGCCUUCGGGUUGUAAAGCACUUUCAGCGGGGAGGAAGGCGGUGAGGUUAAUAACCUCAUCGAUUGACGUUACCCGCAGAAGAAGCACCGGCUAACUCCGUGCCAGCAGCCGCGGUAAUACGGAGGGUGCAAGCGUUAAUCGGAAUUACUGGGCGUAAAGCGCACGCAGGCGGUCUGUCAAGUCGGAUGUGAAAUCCCCGGGCUCAACCUGGGAACUGCAUUCGAAACUGGCAGGCUAGAGUCUUGUAGAGGGGGGUAGAAUUCCAGGUGUAGCGGUGAAAUGCGUAGAGAUCUGGAGGAAUACCGGUGGCGAAGGCGGCCCCCUGGACAAAGACUGACGCUCAGGUGCGAAAGCGUGGGGAGCAAACAGGAUUAGAUACCCUGGUAGUCCACGCCGUAAACGAUGUCGAUUUGGAGGUUGUGCCCUUGAGGCGUGGCUUCCGGAGCUAACGCGUUAAAUCGACCGCCUGGGGAGUACGGCCGCAAGGUUAAAACUCAAAUGAAUUGACGGGGGCCCGCACAAGCGGUGGAGCAUGUGGUUUAAUUCGAUGCAACGCGAAGAACCUUACCUGGUCUUGACAUCCACAGAACUUUCCAGAGAUGGAUUGGUGCCUUCGGGAACUGUGAGACAGGUGCUGCAUGGCUGUCGUCAGCUCGUGUUGUGAAAUGUUGGGUUAAGUCCCGCAACGAGCGCAACCCUUAUCCUUUGUUGCCAGCGGUCCGGCCGGGAACUCAAAGGAGACUGCCAGUGAUAAACUGGAGGAAGGUGGGGAUGACGUCAAGUCAUCAUGGCCCUUACGACCAGGGCUACACACGUGCUACAAUGGCAUAUACAAAGAGAAGCGACCUCGCGAGAGCAAGCGGACCUCAUAAAGUAUGUCGUAGUCCGGAUUGGAGUCUGCAACUCGACUCCAUGAAGUCGGAAUCGCUAGUAAUCGUAGAUCAGAAUGCUACGGUGAAUACGUUCCCGGGCCUUGUACACACCGCCCGUCACACCAUGGGAGUGGGUUGCAAAAGAAGUAGGUAGCUUAACCUUCGGGAGGGCGCUUACCACUUUGUGAUUCAUGACUGGGGUGAAGUCGUAACAAGGUAACCGUAGGGGAACCUGCGGUUGGAUCACCUCCUUACCUUAAAGAA